rnacentral:rRNA from 1 species
UACGGAGGAUCCAAGCGUUAUCCGGAAUUACUGGGCGUAAAGAGUUGCGUAGGUGGCAUUGUAUGUCGGUAGUGAAAGCGUCCCGCUCAACGGGAUAAACAUUAUCGAAACUGCAAAGCUAGAGGAUGAGAGAGGUUAUUGGAAUUCCCUGUGUAGGAGUGAAAUCCGUAGAUAUAGGGAGGAACACCGAUGGCGUAGGCAGAUAACUGGCUCAUUCCUGACACUAAGGCACGAAAGCGUGGGGAGCAAACGGG